GAUGAACGCUGGCGGCGUGCCUAAUACAUGCAAGUCGAGCGAACCUCUUCGGAGGUUAGCGGCGGACGGGUGAGUAACACGUGGGCAACCUACCUUGUAGAUGGGGAUAACAUCGAGAGAUCGGUGCUAAUACCGAAUAACACUUUUCUCCACAUGGAGAAAAGUUAAAAGUUGGCUUUUGCUAACACUACAAGAUGGGCCCGCGGCGCAUUAGCUAGUUGGUGAGGUAACGGCUCACCAAGGCGACGAUGCGUAGCCGACCUGAGAGGGUGAUCGGCCACACUGGGACUGAGACACGGCCCAGACUCCUACGGGAGGCAGCAGUAGGGAAUCUUCCGCAAUGGACGAAAGUCUGACGGAGCAACGCCGCGUGAGUGAUGAAGGCCUUCGGGUCGUAAAACUCUGUUGUUAGGGAAGAAUAAGUACCGUUCGAAUAGGGCGGUACCGUGACGGUACCUAACCAGAAAGCCACGGCUAACUACGUGCCAGCAGCCGCAGUAA
rnacentral:rRNA from 1 species